UACAGAGGGGGCAAGCGUUGUUCGGAAUUACUGGGCGUAAAGGGCGCGUAGGCGGCCUUCUAAGUCGAACGUGAAAUCCCCGGGCUCAACCCGGGAACUGCGUCCGAUACUGGAAGACUUGAAUCCGGGAGAGGGAUGUGGAAUUCCAGGUGUAGCGGUGAAAUGCGUAGAUAUCCGGAGGAAGACCGGUGGCGAAGGCGGUCUGCUGGGCAGUUUCUGACACUGAUGCGCGACAGCGUGGGGAGCAAACAGG
rnacentral:rRNA from 1 species